GUUUACGGCCAUACCACGUUGAAAGCACGACAUCCCGUCCGAUUUGUCAAGUCAAGCAACGUUGGGCCUGGCUCUAGUGCCUGGGUAGAAGCUCAUUUAUCGUAAAUA
rnacentral:rRNA from 1 species